rnacentral:rRNA from 1 species
AUUGAACGCUGGCGGCAGGCCUAACACAUGCAAGUCGAACGGUAACAGGAAGAAGCUUGCUUCUUUGCUGACGAGUGGCGGACGGGUGAGUGAUGUCUGGGAAACUGCCUGAUGGAGGGGGAUAACUACUGGAAACGGUAGCUAAUACCGCAUAACGUCGCAAGACCAAAGAGGGGGACCUUCGGGCCUCUUGCCAUCGGAUGUGCCCAGAUGGGAUUAGCUAGUAGGUGGGGUAACGGCUCACCUAGGCGACGAUCCCUAGCUGGUCUGAGAGGAUGACCAGCCACACUGGAACUGAGACACGGUCCAGACUCCUACGGGAGGCAGCAGUGGGGAAUAUUGCACAAUGGGCGCAAGCCUGAUGCAGCCAUGCCGCGUGUAUGAAGAAGGCCUUCGGGUUGUAAAGUACUUUCAGCGGGGAGGAAGGGAGUAAAGUUAAUACCUUGGCUCAUUGACGUUACCCGCAGAAGAAGCACCGGCUAACUCCGUG